AGCGAACGCUGGCGGCAGGCUUAACACAUGCAAGUCGAGCGGACAUCCUUGUGGUGUCCGCGGCAGACGGGUGAGUCACGCGUGGGAACGUGCCCUUCGGUUCGGAAUAACUCAGGGAAACUUGAGCUAAUACCGGAUACGUGCGAGAGCAGAAAGGUUUGACUGCCGAAGGUUCGGCCCGCGUCUGAUUAGCUAGGUGGGGUGGUUACGGCUCCUCAAGGCGAGGAUCAGUAGCUGGUCUGAGAGGAUGACCAGCCACACCUGCCCGGGGAAACGGCCGAGACUCCUACGGGAGGCAGCAGUGGGGAAUAUUGGAAAAUGGGGGCAGCCCUGAACCAGCCAGGCCGCGUGAGUGAUGUCGGCCGUAAGGUUGUAAAGCUCUUUUCUCCGGGACGAUAAUGACGGUACCGGAGGAAUAAGCCCCGGCUAACUUCGUG
rnacentral:rRNA from 1 species